rnacentral:lncRNA from 1 species
UCUAGUAGUUGGAACCCAGAGGAGCGAAGGAAGUAAGAUUUGCUGAUUUCAACGGCCAGCCAAUGCAUCAUAAAACUCCGUUCUCACAGCCACCAGGAAGACCCUGAGAAUGAUUGCCCAAGUUGUGCCAUUUACUUAUUAACCAAGAAGUAAAUUUGCGUUAUGGGCACGUUAUUUACUCUGUUGGAAAAUACCUUCUCGGCGCUCCUGUUUUCUCCUUUCUGAUGGUAAGAUUUAAAUGAGGUAAUAUGCGUGAAGCUGUUAACACAGCAAUUGGAAAACAGUAAAUGCUCAACACGUGCUGGAUGUUAUUACCCUUCAGGAUGGAGAGGCUGGCCCAGAGCGGUUAAGUAACUUGGCUAACCCACGAGGCUGAACGAUGUCAUAGCCCGGAUUCCCACCUGGCUCCUAACGCUCACACUCCGGAUUCUGCGCUAGGUUCUGGUGCUGCGGAAACACCGUGAGCUGUCCUGGUGCGAGGGAUCCCCGCAGCCGGAUGGUCUCGACGUGAAUUGUCAGCUGUAACUUUUUUGGAGAUACACCUUAUCCGCUCAGCUCGUGAAAAGUUCACGGGCCCUUGGGAUCCUUAUCUCUGCCUGAGGAAUACCUUCGUUCAUUAAUGAGCAAACCACUGAGUAAAUAAAUAAACACAAGCAAAGGGGAGGCCGAGAUGUUAGGCAAACAUUUGCAGAGCACGAUGCCAGGCCUUUCCGGGGCUGGGAGCUGCCGAGAUCUACCCCCGCUCAGAUGCCCAGGGCUUGCCUGGAAGACAGAAAGUCUCCUUCAGAAAACCCCUGGGGGCUACCUAGACUCUGUACCCCAGAGACGCCUUCUAUCUCUGGGCAUCAGUUUCUCAUCUAUGAGGAAGCGAGGCCCGGACUUUGGAGAAUCCGAAGCUGAGCAGCCUGGGUCCUCCAGGCUGAGCAGUCUCCUCUCAAAACUGAUGAAAGCAGAAUGGGUUUCACUUUGCCACAUGCCUUUCAAUCUUCCAAGGAAGGAUGGAAUAAAGGAGGAGAACUGCUUUGCUGCCUCUCGAGCCCACCCUGCCAUGCCUUUCCCUCCUCCACUCAUCCAGCCAGGGCCGUGUGCCCACCUACCACCCCCCGGAGUAUUCCAGGCCCUGGCAAAACGGGAGGAGCCAAAUGCAGAGACAAUAAGUGUGUAGAUAUAUAUUAUGUUCCCUGAGGACUACGACUAUGAAAAGAAGUCGAGCUGGGGUGGGGUGGGGGC